rnacentral:lncRNA from 1 species
CUUGAUGUUAUGUAUUUCCCCCCACUGUAGUGCCUGUAAAGGUGCUGUGGGUAUUGCAUAAAUAAAAUAAAUAAAUAAAUAGCAUAAUUAUUAGGAUUUAGUUUACUU